rnacentral:rRNA from 1 species
GGCGGCGUGCCUAACACAUGCAAGUCGCACGAGAAAGGGGACUUCGGUCCUUGAGUAAAGUGGCGCACGGGUGAGUAACACGUGAAUUAUCUACCUCCGAGUGGGGAAUAACCUAGAGAAAUCUGGGCUAAUACCGCAUAACACUUACGAGUCAAAGCAGCAAUGCGCUUGGAGAGGAGUUCGCGGCAGAUUAGCUAGUUGGCGGGGUAAUGGCCCACCAAGGCGAUGAUCUGUAUCCGGCCUGAGAGGGCGCACGGACACACUGGAACUGAAACACGGUCCAGACUCCUACGGGAGGCAGCAGUGGGGAAUUUUGCGCAAUGGGGGAAACCCUGACGCAGCAACGCCGCGUGGAGGAUGAAAUAUCUUGGUAUGUNAACUCCUUUCGAUGGGGAAGAUUAUGACGGUACCCAUAGAAGAAGCCCCGGCUAACUUC